GAUGAACGCUAGCGGUGUGCUUAAAGCAUGCAAGUCGAACGUGAUCUCUUGGAUUCGUCUGAGGGUGAAAGUGGCGAACGGGUGAGUAAUGCGUUGGUGAUCUGCCCCGGAGUGGGGAAUAACUAUUGGAAACGAUAGCUAAUACCCCAGAUGUCCUCGUGUUUGGAAAGCGAUGACUAAAGUUCAGGCGCUCCGGGAGGAGCCGACGUCCCAUCAGCUAGUUGGUAGGGUAAUGGCCUACCAAGGCACAGACGGGUAGGGGGCGUGAGAGCGUGACCCCCCACACUGGUACUGACACACGGACCAGAUACCUACGGGUAGCAGCAGCUAGGAAUAUUGGACAAUGGGCGAAAGCCUGAUCCAGCAACACCGCGUGGAGGACGAAGGCCUUCGGGUCGUAAACUCCUUUUUGGGGGUAGUGAGAAAGGACAGUACCCCCACGAAUAAGGCCCGGCUAACUACGUGCCAGCAGCCGCGGUAAAGUCUACGUACGUAGACGUAGACGGCGGUCGUGGACGACGGCGAC
rnacentral:rRNA from 1 species